AAUGGUCUCUGACUCAAAGAGAUUGUAGACUAGAUAAAGUAUGUGAUGUAAAGGAUAUCUCAUGUUUAUCUAUUUAGUAAAGAGGUGAAUCUCUGAUAGAGUCUCACCUGUAGAGGCAUUUUAUGUUAUGAAAGAAACAAAAAAGAGUUUUCUGGGAGUUAGAAUCUUUUUUUGCUAAGGCUUGGGAUGGGUUUGAGCAAAUAAAAUGUUCAGGACAGAAAUCAGAAUGCAAACAGGCAGAGUUCAUAGAGAGAGAGUUACUCACAUGGGGAGAGGUAGAUGGCACAAAACCCAACACAUUUCCUAUAGAUGAAGAGUUAAUUGAUUUUAAUAUUGAGUGGAGGAGUUGAAACAGACCUUCAUUUUUAUUUUAUUUUAGCCGAUUUGGUGGAGGCCUCAUUAUUCGGUGCAGGCUCUGAAUCAAUACAUUGGCAAUGGAUUUCCAAAAAAGCAUCAUGUAAUUUUUCAAUGAGAAAUCCAAGAGCCCGGGAGCUGAUGUUAUGGUGUGAAUUACAUCGCAGAGCAGUUGUCAGCUGUCCCUGUCAGCACUUUCUCAGAUGCCAUAAUGCACAAUAAAUGCUGUGGCUGCAGCUACUUAGGAUUAUUGUGGUGGUGGUUUUAGGGGAAGCACCACAAAUUAACAGCUAAAGAAACACAUCCCUUUUUCUUGAAUUGCCCCAUCCCUAUACAAUGUUUUGCUGGCUGCAGGGUAUCGCUGCUGUACCUGCUCCUAUUUCUUCUCACCUCUUCAAAUGAAGCAUGUGCGUCCUUUUCCUCCUUUGCAGGUUUAGCAGGAAGAGGAGCAGUAUGGGCUCUGGCUCUCCCAUUAGCUCACAGGCUCUGGUUGCUCUCUACUUACACACAGCCUGGACUGCAGACCCACUGAGGUCAGGACUGGAGAUCAGGAACCGAGGCGUGAAAAGAUUAAAGGACUCGACAGAGGGAUGUGCUGCAGGGCUGUUUCCCCAUCGCUGCUGGAGAUGUUUCUCCCUGUGCCACAUCCCAGCAUCUACACGUUCACUUGGAGCUUCCCAUGGCAGCAGGGCAUGGCCACAAGUGCUGCAGAAGGAACCGUGUGGGGACAAGACAAGGCAGGCUGUCCCCGUGGCUGCCAUACAGAAGCACUUCACGGCGUGCUGCAAAGGCCAUAAAAUGGUUUCAGCCCCGUUUCUCUGUGCUGGCACAUGGGGAGGUCACCCGGUGCUUCCUGUCCUGGCAAGAAAACCACAACCUGGAGUCCUGUGUUCUCAGCCCGGAGUUCUCCAAACUGGUGGGCCCUAG
rnacentral:lncRNA from 1 species